rnacentral:rRNA from 1 species
ACGCUCGACACCUACGGGAGGCAGCAGUGGGGAAUAUUGCACAAUGGGGGAAACCCUGAUGCAGCGACGCCGCGUGGAGGAAGAAGGUCUUCGGAUUGUAAACUCCUGUUGUUGGGGAAAAANGGAUGGUACCCAACAAGGAAGUGACGGCUAACUACGUGCAAGCAGCCGCGGUAAUCUGAGCGGGCUGGCAAGGC